CCUACGGGAGGCAGCAGUGGGGAAUCUUGUGCAAUGGACGAAAGUCUGACACAGCCACGCCGCGUGCGGGAAGAAGGCCUUCGGGUUGUAAACCGCUUUCAGCAGGAACGAAAAUGACGGUACCUGCAGAAGAAGAUGCGGCCAACUACGUGCCAGCAGCCGCGGUGAUACGUAGGCAUCAAGCGUUGUCCGGAUUUAUUGGGCGUAAAGAGCUCGUAGGCGGUUCAGCAAGUCGGGUGUGAAAACUCUGGGCUUAACCCAGAGCCUGCACUCGAAACUGCUGUGACUAGAGUUCGGUAGGGGAGCAGGGAAUUCCUAGUGUAGCGGUGAAAUGCGCAGAUAUUAGGAGGAACACCAAUGGCGAAGGCACUGCUCUGGGCCGAUACUGACGCUGAGGAGCGAGAGCGUGGGUAGCAAACAGGAUUAGAUACCCUGGUAGUCCACGCCGUAAACGAUGGGCACGUAGGUGUGGGUCUACUAACCAACGAGAUCUGCGCCGUCGCUAACGCAUUAGUCGCCCCGCGUGGGGAGGUACGGUCGCGACGAACGUAAACGUACGAAAGAAGUAGACGGCGUGAGACGUCGACCGACGGACGACGACGAGGGAGGAGGG
rnacentral:rRNA from 1 species